GCAACUCGCCUACAUGAAGCUGGAGUUACUAGUAAUCGCAGAUCAGAAUGCUGCGGUGAAUGCGUUCCCGGGUCUUGUACACACCGCCCGUCACACCACGGAAGUUGGGGGCGCCCGAAGCCACUUAGCUAACCCAUUUGGGAAGCGAGUGUCGAAGGUGAAAUCAAUAACUGGGGUGAAGUCGUAACAAGGUAAC
rnacentral:rRNA from 1 species